CCUACGGGGGGCUGCAGUAAGGAAUAUUGGUCAAUGGAGGAAACUCUGAACCAGCCAUCCCGCGUGAAGGAUGAAGGGGCUCUGCCUUGUAAACUUCUUUUGUCUGGGGCGAAAAAGCUCGAUUUAUCGAGAACUGACGGUACCAGAAGAAUAAGCACCGGCUAACCCCGUGCCAGCAGCCGCGGUAAUACGGAGGGUGACGGCGUUACCGGGAUUCACGGGGUUGAAGGGGGCUUUGGAAGUCAGUGGAGAAAGGCUGUGGCUUAACCAUGGAAUUGCCAUUGAUACUGCAGAGCUUGAAUGAGGUUGAGGUUGGCGGAAUGUGACAUGUAGCGGUGAAAUGCUUAGAUAUGUCAUGGAACACCGAUUGCGAAGGCAGCUGACUGGACCUAUAUUGACGCUGAGGCACGAAAGCGUGGGGAGCGAACAGGAUUAGAUACCCGGGUAGUC
rnacentral:rRNA from 1 species